CAAAAGGUUUUCUAUUGCCAGGCAUCCUCUCCUCUCUGUCCAAGAUAGGGAAUGCUUUUUUUCAAUUGGUGGCAGGGUUUUACCUUCCGCUAUAUGCUGAUUACUAAUGCACAGCUUAGUAGAUCAUACUGGUUGCAGGAGCACAAAUUGGGCUAUUAAUUGAUCUCAUAAGUAGGUAACACUGAAGACAUUACCUGAUUUAAAAAUUGUUA